GUUGUUUUCUCGAAAAUCAAUUAAAAAAGAUUGGAUUUUGUGUUGUAUUGACUUCAUCAGCUUUCUGCACUCUUUUCUUGUCUUUUUUAAUGCACUUUUCGUUUAACAAGUCAACAUCAAUUUCUUUUGUUGUAAAAGAGUCAUUGGAAGGUGGCUUUCUUUUCGGAGAAAGUGUUUAUAGCCUUUGGCUUCUGCAAUCGGAGAGAUUGAGGUCUGCAGCGUAGAUCCUUCGGGGUUAGAUACAUUUGUGCUAAGUUAUAGCCUUUCAUAGACAACUUGUUGACUAUGAUCAGUCAUGUAGCUUACUCGCUUAUGCUAUUUUACCUAC
rnacentral:rRNA from 1 species